AAGCCUAGUUGCUUAGUGUUGGGAAUCUGCCCUGUAUUUAUAGGGCAGUUCCUUAAAGUGAUCGGCGGAGUUAGGGCAUACUCUAAGCGUAGUAAUAUUCUUCUCGCUUCUGUAGUUGUCCUGGCGGCUUGCCGUUAAACCCCUAUAUUUCUAGUGGUUGACCUCGGAUUAGGUAGGAAUACCCGCUGAACUUAAGCAUAUCAAUAAGCGGAGGAAAAGAAACCAACAGGGAUUGCCCUAGUAACGGCGAGUGAAGCGGCAACAGCUCAAAUUUGAAAUCUGGCCCUAGCGGUCCGAGUUGUAAUUUGUAGAGGAUGCUUUUGGUUAGGUGCCUUCUGAGUUCCCUGGAACGGGACGCCAGAGAGGGUGAGAGCCCCGUACGGUUGGACACCGAGCCUCUAUAUAGCUCCUUCGACGAGUCGAGUAGUUUGGGAAUGCUGCUCUAAAUGGGAGGUAAAUUUCUUCUAAAGCUAAAUACCGGCCAGAGACCGAUAGCGCACAAGUAGAGUGAUCGAAAGAUGAAAAGUACUUUGAAAAGAGGGUUAAAUAGCACGUGAAAUUGUUGAAAGGGAAGCGUUUGCGACCAGACUUUUUCCAGGCGGAUCAUCCGGUGUUCUCACCGGUGCACUUCGCCUGGUUUAGGCCAGCAUCGGUUCUCUUAGGGGGAUAAAGGCCUGGGGAACGUAGCUCCUUCGGGAGUGUUAUAGCCCCUAGCGUAAUACCCUUCGGGGGACC
rnacentral:rRNA from 1 species